GGUUAAGCGACUAAGCGUACACGGUGGAUGCCCUGGCAGUCAGAGGCGAUGAAGGACGUGCUAAUCUGCGAUAAGCGUCGGUAAGGUGAUAUGAACCGUUAUAACCGGCGAUUUCCGAAUGGGGAAACCCAGUGUGAUUCGUCACACUAUCAUUAACUGAAUCCAUAGGUUAAUGAGGCGAACCGGGGGAACUGAAACAUCUAAGUACCCCGAGGAAAAGAAAUCAACCGAGAUUCCCCCAGUAGCGGCGAGCGAACGGGGAGCAGCCCAGAGCCUGAAUCAGUGUGUGUGUUAGUGGAAGCGUCUGGAAAGGCGUGCGAUACAGGGUGACAGCCCCGUACACAAAAAUGCACAUACUGUGAGCUCGAUGAGUAGGGCGGGACACGUGGUAUCCUGUCUGAAUAUGGGGGGACCAUCCUCCAAGGCUAAAUACUCCUGACUGACCGAUAGUGAACCAGUACCGUGAGGGAAAGGCGAAAAGAACCCCGGCGAGGGGAGUGAAAAAGAACCUGAAACCGUGUACGUACAAGCAGUGGGAGCACGCUUAGGCGUGUGACUGCGUACCUUUUGUAUAAUGGGUCAGCGACUUAUAUUCUGUAGCAAGGUUAACCGAAUAGGGGAGCCGAAGGGAAACCGAGUCUUAACUGGGCGUUAAGUUGCAGGGUAUAGACCCGAAACCCGGUGAUCUAGCCAUGGGCAGGUUGAAGGUUGGGUAACACUAACUGGAGGACCGAACCGACUAAUGUUGAAAAAUUAGCGGAUGACUUGUGGCUGGGGGUGAAAGGCCAAUCAAACCGGGAGAUAGCUGGUUCUCCCCGAAAGCUAUUUAGGUAGCGCCUCGUGAAUUCAUCUCCGGGGGUAGAGCACUGUUUCGGCAAGGGGGUCAUCCCGACUUACCAACCCGAUGCAAACUGCGAAUACCGGAGAAUGUUAUCACGGGAGACACACGGCGGGUGCUAACGUCCGUCGUGAAGAGGGAAACAACCCAGACCGCCAGCUAAGGUCCCAAAGUCAUGGUUAAGUGGGAAACGAUGUGGGAAGGCCCAGACAGCCAGGAUGUUGGCUUAGAAGCAGCCAUCAUUUAAAGAAAGCGUAAUAGCUCACUGGUCGAGUCGGCCUGCGCGGAAGAUGUAACGGGGCUAAACCAUGCACCGAAGCUGCGGCAGCGACGCUUAUGCGUUGUUGGGUAGGGGAGCGUUCUGUAAGCCUGUGAAGGUGUACUGUGAGGUAUGCUGGAGGUAUCAGAAGUGCGAAUGCUGACAUAAGUAACGAUAAAGCGGGUGAAAAGCCCGCUCGCCGGAAGACCAAGGGUUCCUGUCCAACGUUAAUCGGGGCAGGGUGAGUCGACCCCUAAGGCGAGGCCGAAAGGCGUAGUCGAUGGGAAACAGGUUAAUAUUCCUGUACUUGGUGUUACUGCGAAGGGGGGACGGAGAAGGCUAUGUUGGCCGGGCGACGGUUGUCCCGGUUUAAGCGUGUAGGCUGGUUUUCCAGGCAAAUCCGGAAAAUCAAGGCUGAGGCGUGAUGACGAGGCACUACGGUGCUGAAGCAACAAAUGCCCUGCUUCCAGGAAAAGCCUCUAAGCAUCAGGUAACAUCAAAUCGUACCCCAAACCGACACAGGUGGUCAGGUAGAGAAUACCAAGGCGCUUGAGAGAACUCGGGUGAAGGAACUAGGCAAAAUGGUGCCGUAACUUCGGGAGAAGGCACGCUGAUAUGUAGGUGAAGUCCCUCGCGGAUGGAGCUGAAAUCAGUCGAAGAUACCAGCUGGCUGCAACUGUUUAUUAAAAACACAGCACUGUGCAAACACGAAAGUGGACGUAUACGGUGUGACGCCUGCCCGGUGCCGGAAGGUUAAUUGAUGGGGUUAGCGCAAGCGAAGCUCUUGAUCGAAGCCCCGGUAAACGGCGGCCGUAACUAUAACGGUCCUAAGGUAGCGAAAUUCCUUGUCGGGUAAGUUCCGACCUGCACGAAUGGCGUAAUGAUGGCCAGGCUGUCUCCACCCGAGACUCAGUGAAAUUGAACUCGCUGUGAAGAUGCAGUGUACCCGCGGCAAGACGGAAAGACCCCGUGAACCUUUACUAUAGCUUGACACUGAACAUUGAGCCUUGAUGUGUAGGAUAGGUGGGAGGCUUUGAAGUGUGGACGCCAGUCUGCAUGGAGCCGACCUUGAAAUACCACCCUUUAAUGUUUGAUGUUCUAACGUUGACCCGUGAUCCGGGUUGCGGACAGUGUCUGGUGGGUAGUUUGACUGGGGCGGUCUCCUCCUAAAGAGUAACGGAGGAGCACGAAGGUUGGCUAAUCCUGGUCGGACAUCAGGAGGUUAGUGCAAUGGCAUAAGCCAGCUUGACUGCGAGCGUGACGGCGCGAGCAGGUGCGAAAGCAGGUCAUAGUGAUCCGGUGGUUCUGAAUGGAAGGGCCAUCGCUCAACGGAUAAAAGGUACUCCGGGGAUAACAGGCUGAUACCGCCCAAGAGUUCAUAUCGACGGCGGUGUUUGGCACCUCGAUGUCGGCUCAUCACAUCCUGGGGCUGAAGUAGGUCCCAAGGGUAUGGCUGUUCGCCAUUUAAAGUGGUACGCGAGCUGGGUUUAGAACGUCGUGAGACAGUUCGGUCCCUAUCUGCCGUGGGCGCUGGAGAACUGAGGGGGGCUGCUCCUAGUACGAGAGGACCGGAGUGGACGCAUCACUGGUGUUCGGGUUGUCAUGCCAAUGGCACUGCCCGGUAGCUAAAUGCGGAAGAGAUAAGUGCUGAAAGCAUCUAAGCACGAAACUUGCCCCGAGAUGAGUUCUCCCUGACUCCUUGAGAGUCCUGAAGGAACGUUGAAGACGACGACGUUGAUAGGCCGGGUGUGUAAGCGCAGCGAUGCGUUGAGCUAACCGGUACUAAUGAACCGUGAGGCUUAACCUU
rnacentral:rRNA from 1 species